rnacentral:miRNA from 1 species
UCAUCGGCUCAUCAGACACGC